AACAAAAUGAGCCCAUUUCGAAAGAAAGCCCAGCAUCACAUUAUGGCACUGCUUUCCAUUCAAAAUCUAAAACAACAUAUCGCCGCCGUUAAUUGAUAAAACCCUAAAAUCCCUAAAACCCCUAAUUCCAUCUAUAAAGACACCAUCUUCAUAUUAUAUCAUCCUGUGCCUCCAUUAUCACUCGUUCUCAAUCCUUCCCUUCAUAUCGAAGCUAUUCGGUGCUGUUUCUUCGAUUGUCUUCUUGCUAUUCUAUAUCUCAUAUUUUUUUUAUUUUUUCUUUCUCCAAUCAAUGUAUAUGCUCUAUUAUAUUAUUCAAGUUUUUCUCGGGAAAUAACUAUCGUUCGAUCGUCUUUCAUAGUUGGAAAUCUAUCGCCUACUCUAAUCCCGAUGGUUAUUGGAGUAGAGUUUGAUUAUUGUUUGUAUCUUCUUUGUGUUAUAUUUACCCCUCUUUAACUGUAUGAUACUUGUUGAUGUCAAUGAUGAUAAAUCUAAGGCUUGUUUCUCAAAACAUUCGCAGUGGCCGACUAAAGCUUUCGCCUUCGCCAGGCUUGAGAGCUAAUGCUGCCUUAACCUUCCUUGGAUGUCUGAGAUCUGUAAUUUGAUCUUCUUCUUUGUUGUUAAUUUUUCCAUAACAUUUGCUGUGGUCUAAUAAUUGCUUAGUUUUUAUUGUUAAUUUCAAUGAUGAUAACUCUAAGGCUUGUUUCUCAAAACAUUCGCAGUGGCCGUCUAAAGCUUUCGCCUUCGCCAGGCUUGAGAGCUAAUGCUGCCCUAACCUUCCUUGGAUGUCUGAGAUCUGAACUUAGUUCUUCUCCUUUGUUAUUUCUUUAUUAUAAUUUCGAUUGGUAUUUAGUUCUUGUGUCAUAUUUUGACGGAGGAUCUCUGCGAAGAAAUCCUUUACAAUACGGUAGCAAACAUGUUAUGUUUGUAUAUUUCCUUAGUUAACGUCAAAUAUCAAUAUCAACAUUGUGAUGGUUUUCCUUUUUGGAUUUCCUCCGUUUUGAUUUGUCUCAUAUUCCAUCACCUUGUAGAGCGGCUUUGCUGCCAUUGCUACUUUGGACUUGCCAUGGGGCUUACAUUUUGCUAUUAAGUUUUUAUCUUUUUCUAUUUGCUACUGUUUUUGUAUGUAUUACGACAGUUUCAUUAAUUUGCUUUGAUGUUUUACAUGUAUAUAUAUAUUGCCCAUGAUGAUAUCAAUCAUCAAUUACCAUCUUUCGGGACUGAAUGGCUCUUUUGGGCCUUGCUGUUAAUAUGCAAUUCUGAGGCAUUUUCAUUAAUUUUUAUUUCUUUAUAGUGCUAAGUUAUACAAACUUUUACAGUACCAAUGAGGAUAUCAUUUACCAAUUAACACCAUCUUUCGGGACUGAAAUGGCUUUUUAAGCCUUGAUGUUAUAUUCUGCAAUUCUGAGGGUCGCUGCUUCAUCUUCCGAUCAUCCCAUCAGUGUGUUCUUGUUGAUGGCCUGAGAGUUAUUCAUUUUUUUAAUUCAUUGUAGACUGUAAUUUGUACUAUUUAUUUUGUAACUUUUUUGUCAAAUUUCAAAUUUUUCUUAGAAAUUUAUAUAGAUUAAUGUCUAUAUAAAUUUCUGAGAAAUUUCUCAGUGAAUAAAAAGUGUACUAGUUGAGAUAUCUUUACUGUAGUACCAUAUCUCAUUUAAGAGUAAUAUAAUAACGUGCAUUCAUUUAUAUAAUAUUAAUAUAGGUUCUGCUAUUACCUCAGUGUAAA